GUGACAACUGUCACUCAGAGAACAGAAACAAAGCACACAAAAAACAUUGUGCAAAAUUGUUUUUUGUAUGCUUUGUUUCUGUUCUCUAAGUGACGGUUGUGC
rnacentral:pre_miRNA from 1 species